GGGCCGGUAGCGUAACGGUAGCGCACCUCCAUGGCAUGGAGGGGGUUGGGAGUUCGAAUCUCCUCCGGUCCACAA
rnacentral:tRNA from 8 species